rnacentral:pre_miRNA from 1 species
ACUUGCCUGGCUCCCUGUAUGCCAACUGAGGAGCUCCUCAGAGACCUUGACAGGCUCCGUAGCUGGCAUUCAGGGGGCCAUGCAGGA